ACGCACGCUGGCGGCGUGCUUAACACAUGCAAGUCGAACGGAAAGGCCCUGCUUUUGUGGGGUGCUCGAGUGGCGAACGGGUGAGUAACACGUGAGUAACCUGCCCUUGACUUUGGGAUAACUUCAGGAAACUGGGGCUAAUACCGGAUAGGAGCUCCUGCUGCAUGGUGGGGGUUGGAAAGUUUCGGCGGUUGGGGAUGGACUCGCGGCUUAUCAGCUUGUUGGUGGGGUAGUGGCUUACCAAGGCUUUGACGGGUAGCCGGCCUGAGAGGGUGACCGGCCACAUUGGGACUGAGAUACGGCCCAGACUCCUACGGGAGGCAGCAGUGGGGAAUAUUGCACAAUGGGCGGAAGCCUGAUGCAGCAACGCCGCGUGCGGGAUGACGGCCUUCGGGUUGUAAACCGCUUUCGCCUGUGACGAAGCGUGAGUGACGGUAAUGGGUAAGGAAGCACCGGCUAACUACGUG
rnacentral:rRNA from 1 species